rnacentral:rRNA from 1 species
AGCUCCAAUAGCGUAUAUUAAUUUUGUUGCAGUUAAAAAGCUCGUAGUUGGAUUUCUUUUAUGUUAAAGGGUACGGAUGCAUGUUUCACUCUGUGAUUCACAUCUUCCUUUAAUAUGAAAUAUUUUGUGAUAUCUUGUAUUUGGAAAAUUCGUUUUAGUCAUUUAUUUGGUUAUUAUGGAGAUUCUAGUACAUUUUAAGGUAUUGCAUCGUUUACUGUGAAAAAAUCAAAGCGUUCAAAGCAGGCUUUAUGCUCUCUGAAUGUCUCAGCAUGGAAUAAUAAAAUAGGUCUCAUCCUCAUUUUGUUGGUUUGCAAGGAAGAGAAAUGAUUAACAGGGACAGUUGGGGGUAUUCGUAUUAGAUUGUCAGAGGUGAAAUUCUUGGAUUUAUUUAAGACGAACAACUGCGAAAGCAUUUACCAAGGAUGUUUUCA